GCCUGGCUAGCUCAGUCAGUAGAGCAAUGACUCUCAAUCACAGGGUCAUGGGUUCAAGCCCCAUGUUGGGCA